CCCGCUGAACUUAAGCAUAUCAAUAAGCGGAGGAAAAGAAACUAACAAGGAUUCCCCUAGUAACGGCGAGUGAAGCGGGAAGAGCUCAAAUUUGAAAUCUGGUCGUCUUUGGCGGCCCGAGUUGUAGUUUAGAGAAGCGUUUUCUGUGCCGGACCACGUACAAGUCCCUUGGAAUCGGGCGUCGUGGAGGGUGAGAACCCCGUCUCUGACGUGGACAGGCGGAGCUCUGUGAUGCGCUCUCGAAGAGCAGAGUUGUUUGGGAAUGCAGCUCAAAACGGGUGGUAAAUUCCAUCUAAAGCUAAAUAUUGUGCGAGAGACCGAUAGCGAACAAGUACCGUGAGGGAAAGAUGAAAAGAACUUUGGAAAGAGAGUCAAACAGUACGUGAAAUUGUUGAAAGGAAGACGCUUGGAGUCAGUCUCGUCUCGGCGGACUCACCCUGGCUUUGGCCACGGUGUAUUUUCGUCCUGCCGGGCCAGCAUCGAUUUUGACCGUCGACGAAGGGCUGGGGCAUUGUGCUACCUUCGGGUGUGUUUUAGUGUCCUGUCGUACACGGUGAUUGGGAUAGAGCAACGCAGAGCGCCUUUUGGCCGAGUGUCGUUCACGUAAUGCGCUCAGGAUGCUGGCGUAAUGGCUAUAAACGACCCGUCUUGAAACACGG
rnacentral:rRNA from 1 species